GAUCCUGGCUCAGGACGAACGCUGGCGGCGCGCCUAACACAUGCAAGUCGAACGAGCGAGAGAGAGCUUGCUUUCUUGAACGAGUGGCGAACGGGUGAGUAACGCGUGAGGAACCUGCCUCAAAGAGGGGGACAACAGUUGGAAACGACUGCUAAUACCGCAUAAGCCCACAGGUCGGCAUCGACCAGAGGGAAAAGGAGCAAUCCGCUUUGAGAUGGCCUCGCGUCCGAUUAGCUAGUUGG
rnacentral:rRNA from 1 species